UAGCUACUCCCUCCGUCCGGAAAUACUUGUCCUCCAAAUGGAUAAAAUAAAUGUAUCUAUAACUAAAAUAAGUCUAAAUACAACCAUUUCGAGGACAAGUAUUUUUGGACGGAGGGAGUACAAC
rfam:Triticum aestivum genome assembly, contig: Triticum_aestivum_CS42_TGACv1_scaffold_514196_6BS